rnacentral:rRNA from 1 species
UACGUAGGGUCCGAGCGUUGUCCGGAAUUAUUGGGCGUAAAGGGCUCGUAGGCGGUCUGUUGCGUCGGGAGUGAAAACUUACAGCUUAACUGUGAGCGUGCUUCCGAUACGGGCAGACUUGAGGUAUUCAGGGGAGAACGGAAUUCCUGGUGUAGCGGUGAAAUGCGUAGAUAUCGGGAGGAACACCAGUGGCGAAGGCGACUUCCUGGCCUGUUCUUGACGCUGAGGCGCGAAAGCUAGGGGAGCAAACAGG